rnacentral:rRNA from 2 species
GUGCUGCAGCUAACGCAUUAAGCAUUCCGCCUGGGGAGUACGGCCGCAAGGCUGAAACUCAAAGGAAUUGACGGGGGCCCGCACAAGCGGUGGAGCAUGUGGUUUAAUUCGAAGCUACGCGAAGAACCUUACCAGGUCUUGACAUACUAUGCAAAUCUAAGAGAUUAGACGUUCCCUUCGGGGACAUGGAUACAGGUGGUGCAUGGUUGUCGUCAGCUCGUGUCGUGAGAUGUUGGGUUAAGUCCCGCAACGAGCGCAACCCUUAUUAUCAGUUGCCAGCAUUAAGUUGGGCACUCUGGUGAGACUGCCGGUGACAAACCGGAGGAAGGUGGGGAUGACGUCAAAUCAUCAUGCCCCUUAUGACCUGGGCUACACACGUGCUACAAUGGAUGGUACAACGAGUUGCGAACUCGCGAGAGUAAGCUAAUCUCUUAAAGCCAUUCUCAGUUCGGAUUGUAGGCUGCAACUCGCCUACAUGAAGUCGGAAUCGCUAGUAAUCGCGGAUCAGCAUGCCGCGGUGAAUACGUUCCCGGGCCUUGUACACACCGCCCGUCACACCAUGAGAGUUUGUAACACCCAAAGUCGGUGGGGUAACCUUUUAGGAACCAGCCGCCUAAGGUGGGACAGAUGAUUGGGGUGAAGUCGUAACAAGGUAGCCGUAGAGA